CCUACGGGAGGCAGCAGUGGGGAAUAUUGGACAAUGGGCGCAAGCCUGAUCCAGCAAUGCCGCGUGUGUGAAGAAGGCCUUCGGGUUGUAAAGCACUUUAAGCAGGGAAGAAAAAACUCGGUCUAAUACAUCGAGUCUUGACGGUACCUGAAGAAUAAGCACCGGCUAACUCUGUGCCAGCAGCCGCGGUAAUA
rnacentral:rRNA from 1 species